rnacentral:rRNA from 1 species
CCUACGGGAGGCAGCAGUGGGGAAUAUUGCACAAUGGGGGAAACCCUGAUGCAGCGACGCCGCGUGAGUGAAGAAGUAUUUCGGUAUGUAAAGCUCUAUCAGCAGGGAAGAAAAUGACGGUACCUGAUUAAGAAGCCCCGGCUAACUACGUGCCAGCAGCCGCGGUAAUACGUAGGGGGCAAGCGUUAUCCGGAUUUACUGGGUGUAAAGGGAGCGUAGACGGCAGCACAAGUCUGGAGUGAAAUGCCGGGGCUUAACCCCGGAACUGCUUUGGAAACUGUGCAGCUAGAGUGCAGGAGAGGUAAGUGGAAUUCCUAGUGUAGCGGUGAAAUGCGUAGAGAGUAGGAGGAACACCAGGGGCGAAGGCGGGUUACUGGACUGUAACUGACGUUGAGGCUCGAAAGCGUGGGGAGCAAACAGGAUUAGAUACCCCAGUAGUC